rnacentral:rRNA from 1 species
UACGAAGGGUGCAAGCGUUAAUCGGAAUUACUGGGCGUAAAGGGUGCGUAGGCGGUUCGUUUAGUCUGUCGUGAAAUCCCCGGGCUCAACCUGGGAAUGGCGAUGGAUACUGGCGAGCUAGAGUGUGUCAGAGGAUGGUGGAAUUCCCGGUGUAGCGGUGAAAUGCGUAGAGAUCGGGAUGAACAUCAGUGGCGAAGGCGGCCAUCUGGGACAACACUGACGCUGAAGCACGAAAGCGUGGGGAGCAAACAGG